rnacentral:lncRNA from 1 species
GUUGGCAGUGGAAGCAAGGGGGUCUUGCUGGAGAUCCCUGUGUACCUGUGCCUUUCUGAAGCAGAUGGGCAAUGGCUGCGAAUGGCCACAUCCCACUGGCCCGGUGGCCCGGCGGGGACGUUUGUCACCGUCUGCCGGAGCAGCGACACGAGGAGAGCGGAUGGGAAAUCAAUACGGAGACUGCGAGCCGCGGGACUCGGGGACCCGCUGCGCCAGGACCUUUUAUUGGAUUUGCCAUCUUCCUCAUUGUUCCUCUGCUGUUUUUUUUGUAUCCCCUUCUUGCUUUUUAUGGUGCAGAAUUGGAUUUGACUCGAUUUUCCUUCGUAUUGCGCUGCAGCCAGCCUGGCGCAGCAGCACCACGAGCCCCAGCCCCGUGGUGAUGUCUUGGUCUCACCCUGGCACCUCCUGGGGUGAUGGGGUUAUUUAUGGUGGCAAAAAUUGGACUAGAAGGACGAGGGAGCGGUUGGGGGCUGCUGAAUUGCUAAGGCACUCUGUGCAGCGGGAUCUGCUGCAGUUGUCUUGGUCCUGAGCCACGGUAAUUGUAUUCUAUGAAAUAUUUAUUCAUUUUCAUUUCAAUUUCGUUUCCAACUUGUAUUUCCUAUAAAAUGAUGUGGAAGGGGAGGCAGGAAAAAAAAAAAAAACCAUCCUCAGUGCAUUUAUCAUCAUAACAGGUUCCUUCCCAAACCUUUCCCCAAAGUGGCACUGGCGGGCAGGACCACACAGAUCUGCUGUUCCUACACCUCGAAGCGUUAUCUAUCAUCGUGCCGGGGGGGCCGGGGCUGCAGGAUCCAGCUCAGCCUCCAGCAGAAUGCCCCAAAUCCUCCACGCAUCCCUGGGAUGGCUGUAAGGGGAUCGCAUCCGCCAACGGGGCAGUAAAUUCAAGAUGAUGACCAUAUCAUCUCCAUCCCCAUCAGUGUGAAAGUGUUUCCCGGGUUAUUAUUAUUUGCAGGCUGAUCGUAGGCGCCGUCUGAUAACAGCUGAUUGCUUCUCCUCCCAUUUGCAUACAAUAAAUAUCACCGUCGAAGCGUGCAGGGGAGAGCUGAACGGUGCUCAUGCCUUAUUUAUGAGAAAUAAACACGAGAUCAAGUUUGCAUAAUCAACACAUCUUUAAUUUGUGAGCUCUUCCACUUGGGUCUCGGGCUGCAAUCAGACCCCGUGGCAAUCAGGUUGGAAAUGUCUUCAUUAAGCGCCUGUCACAUCCCAGAUCCCAUUUUAAACUUCUGAUAGGAAGCGGUGGAG